rnacentral:rRNA from 1 species
AGCGAACGCUGGCGGCAGGCUUAACACAUGCAAGUCGAGCGGGCAUCCUUGUGGUGUCAGCGGCAGACGGGUGAGUAACGCGUGGGAACGUGCCCUUCGGUUCGGAAUAACUCAGGGAAACUUGAGCUAAUACCGGAUACGUUCGAGAGCAGAAAGGUUUAUCUGCCGAAGGCUCGGCCCGCGUCUGAUUAGCUAGGUGGUGAGGUUAUGGCUCACCAAGGCGACGAUCAGUAGCUGGUCUGAGAGGAUGAUCAGCCACACUGGGACUGAGACACGGCCCAGACUCCUACGGGAGGCAGCAGUGGGGAAUAUUGGACACUGGAGGCAAACCUGAUCCAGCCAUGUGGGGUGAGUGAUGACGGCCUUAGGGUUGUAAAGCUCUUUUCUCCGGGACGAUAAUGACGGUACCGGAGGAAUAAGCCCCGGCUAACUUCGUG